AGCAGCCGCGGUAAUUCCAGCUCCAAUAGCGUAUAUUAAAGUUGUUGCAGUUAAAAAGCUCGUAGUUGAAUUUCGGGAUUGGCGCAUCGGUCGUGCCUCACGGGGUAUGAACUGGUGCAGUCAAUUUCUCACCUUCUGGAGAACCGCGAUGUCCUUAAUUGGAUGCCGCGGGGAACCAGGACCUUUACUUUGAAAAAAUUAGAGUGUUUAAAGCAGGCAUUUUUGCUUGAAUACAUUAGCAUGGAAUAAUAAAAUAGGACGGCAUGGUUUUAUUUUGUUGGUUUCUAGGACCACCGUAAUGAUUAAUAGGGAUAGUUGGGGGCAUUAGUAUUCAAUUGUCAGAGGUGAAAUUCUUGGAUUUAUUGAAGACUAACUACUGCGAAAGCAUUUGCCAAGGAUGUUUUCAUUAAUCAAGAACGAAAGUUAGGGGAUCGAAGACGAUCAGAUACCGUCGUAGUCUUAACCAUAAACUAUGCCGACUAGGAAUCAGACGAUGUUAAUUUUUUAAUGACUCGUUUGG
rnacentral:rRNA from 1 species